UUUCCGUAGGUGAACCUGCGGAAGGAUCAUUAUUGUAUAACCGAGGUGCGAGGGCUGUCGCUGACCCGAAAGGUCGUGCACGCCCGAGUGCCCUCACACACAUCCAUCUCACCCCUAUGUGCACCACCGCGUGGGUCCCCCUUUGGCUUGUUCGGAGGGGGGCUUACGUUUUCACACAAACUUUGUAUGCAGUGUAGAAUGUAUUUUUUGUUUUUGCGAUCACGCAAUCAAUACAACUUUCAACAACGGAUCUCUUGGCUCUCGCAUCGAGAAGAACGCAGC
rnacentral:misc_RNA from 1 species